AAGGGGAUGGACUGUGGCGCCGCUGAGUUCCUGGGCAUGGUGAUGUCUGAGGAUCUGAGCAGGUGGAGCCCAGGGGGUGGUGGGGCUGUUUGUCGGGUUUCUGGAAGAGCGAAGGGAAAGUCAGGGAGUGUAAGGCGCAUCUCACAGAAUCGUCGGGCCGCGCUCUCUCCCGUCCUCCCUCCUUCUCCCACUACUGGCGAUGUCUGG
rnacentral:lncRNA from 1 species